AAUGGGUCAGCGACUUAUAUUCUGUAGCAAGGUUAACCGAAUAGGGGAGCCGAAGGGAAACCGAGUCUUAACUGGGCGUUAAGUUGCAGGGUAUAGACCCGAAACCCGGUGAUCUAGCCAUGGGCAGGUUGAAGGUUGGGUAACACUAACUGGAGGACCGAACCGACUAAUGUUGAAAAAUUAGCGGAUGACUUGUGGCUGGGGGUGAAAGGCCAAUCAAACCGGGAGAUAGCUGGUUCUCCCCGAAAGCUAUUUAGGUAGCGCCUCGUGAAUUCAUCUCCGGGGGUAGAGCACUGUUUCGGCAAGGGGGUCAUCCCGACUUACCAACCCGAUGCAAACUGCGAAUACCGGAGAAUGUUAUCACGGGAGACACACGGCGGGUGCUAACGUCCGUCGUGAAGAGGGAAACAACCCAGACCGCCAGCUAAGGUCCCAAAGUCAUGGUUAAGUGGGAAACGAUGUGGGAAGGCCCAGACAGCCAGGAUGUUGGCUUAGAAGCAGCCAUCAUUUAAAGAAAGCGUAAUAGCUCACUGGUCGAGUCGGCCUGCGCGGAAGAUGUAACGGGGCUAAACCAUGCACCGAAGCUGCGGCAGCGACACUAUGUGUUGUUGGGUAGGGGAGCGUUCUGUAAGCCUGUGAAGGUGUACUGUGAGGUAUGCUGGAGGUAUCAGAAGUGCGAAUGCUGACAUAAGUAACGAUAAAGCGGGUGAAAAGCCCGCUCGCCGGAAGACCAAGGGUUCCUGUCCAACGUUAAUCGGGGCAGGGUGAGUCGACCCCUAAGGCGAGGCCGAAAGGCGUAGUCGAUGGGAAACAGGUUAAUAUUCCUGUACUUGGUGUUACUGCGAAGGGGGGACGGAGAAGGCUAUGUUGGCCGGGCGACGGUUGUCCCGGUUUAAGCGUGUAGGCUGGUUUUCCAGGCAAAUCCGGAAAAUCAAGGCUGAGGCGUGAUGACGAGGCACUACGGUGCUGAAGCAACAAAUGCCCUGCUUCCAGGAAAAGCCUCUAAGCAUCAGGUAACAUCAAAUCGUACCCCAAACCGACACAGGUGGUCAGGUAGAGAAUACCAAGGCGCUUGAGAGAACUCGGGUGAAGGAACUAGGCAAAAUGGUGCCGUAACUUCGGGAGAAGGCACGCUGAUAUGUAGGUGAAGUCCCUCGCGGAUGGAGCUGAAAUCAGUCGAAGAUACCAGCUGGCUGCAACUGUUUAUUAAAAACACAGCACUGUGCAAACACGAAAGUGGACGUAUACGGUGUGACGCCUGCCCGGUGCCGGAAGGUUAAUUGAUGGGGUCAGCGCAAGCGAAGCUCUUGAUCGAAGCCCCGGUAAACGGCGGCCGUAACUAUAACGGUCCUAAGGUAGCGAAAUUCCUUGUCGGGUAAGUUCCGACCUGCACGAAUGGCGUAAUGAUGGCCAGGCUGUCUCCACCCGAGACUCAGUGAAAUUGAACUCGCUGUGAAGAUGCAGUGUACCCGCGGCAAGACGGAAAGACCCCGUGAACCUUUACUAUAGCUUGACACUGAACAUUGAGCCUUGAUGUGUAGGAUAGGUGGGAGGCUUAGAAGUGUGGACGCCAGUCUGCAUGGAGCCGACCUUGAAAUACCACCCUUUAAUGUUUGAUGUUCUAACGUUGACCCGUGAUCCGGGUUGCGGACAGUGUCUGGUGGGUAGUUUGACUGGGGCGGUCUCCUCCUAAAGAGUAACGGAGGAGCACGAAGGUUGGCUAAUCCUGGUCGGACAUCAGGAGGUUAGUGCAAUGGCAUAAGCCAGCUUGACUGCGAGCGUGACGGCGCGAGCAGGUGCGAAAGCAGGUCAUAGUGAUCCGGUGGUUCUGAAUGGAAGGGCCAUCGCUCAACGGAUAAAAGGUACUCCGGGGAUAACAGGCUGAUACCGCCCAAGAGUUCAUAUCGACGGCGGUGUUUGGCACCUCGAUGUCGGCUCAUCACAUCCUGGGGCUGAAGUAGGUCCCAAGGGUAUGGCUGUUCGCCAUUUAAAGUGGUACGCGAGCUGGGUUUAGAACGUCGUGAGACAGUUCGGUCCCUAUCUGCCGUGGGCGCUGGAGAACUGAGGGGGGCUGCUCCUAGUACGAGAGGACCGGAGUGGACGCAUCACUGGUGUUCGGGUUGUCAUGCCAAUGGCACUGCCCGGUAGCUAAAUGCGGAAGAGAUAAGUGCUGAAAGCAUCUAAGCACGAAACUUGCCCCGAGAUGAGUUCUCCCUGACCCUUUAAGGGUCCUGAAGGAACGUUGAAGACGACGACGUUGAUAGGCCGGGUGUGUAAGCGCAGCGAUGCGUUGAGCUAACCGGUACUAAUGAACCGUGAGG
rnacentral:rRNA from 1 species